GGGUUGUGAGGUUAAGCGACUAAGCGUACACGGUGGAUGCCCUGGCAGUCAGAGGCGAUGAAGGACGUGCUAAUCUGCGAUAAGCGCCGGUAAGGUGAUAUGAACCGUUAUAACCGGCGAUUUCCGAAUGGGGAAACCCAGUGUGAUUCGUCACACUAUCAUUAACUGAAUCCAUAGGUUAAUGAGGCGAACCGGGGGAACUGAAACAUCUAAGUACCCCGAGGAAAAGAAAUCAACCGAGAUUCCCCCAGUAGCGGCGAGCGAACGGGGAGGAGCCCAGAGCCUGAAUCAGCAUGUGUGUUAGUGGAAGCGUCUGGAAAGGCGCGCGAUACAGGGUGACAGCCCCGUACACAAAAGCGCAUGUGCUGUGAGCUCGAUGAGUAGGGCGGGACACGUGGUAUCCUGUCUGAAUAUGGGGGGACCAUCCUCCAAGGCUAAAUACUCCUGACUGACCGAUAGUGAACCAGUACCGUGAGGGAAAGGCGAAAAGAACCCCGGCGAGGGGAGUGAAAAAGAACCUGAAACCGUGUACGUACAAGCAGUGGGAGCACAGGUUUACCUGUGUGACUGCGUACCUUUUGUAUAAUGGGUCAGCGACUUAUAUUCUGUAGCAAGGUUAACCGUAUAGGGGAGCCGUAGGGAAACCGAGUCUUAACCGGGCGUUAAGUUGCAGGGUAUAGACCCGAAACCCGGUGAUCUAGCCAUGGGCAGGUUGAAGGUUGGGUAACACUAACUGGAGGACCGAACCGACUAAUGUUGAAAAAUUAGCGGAUGACCUGUGGCUGGGGGUGAAAGGCCAAUCAAACCGGGAGAUAGCUGGUUCUCCCCGAAAGCUAUUUAGGUAGCGCCUCGUGAAUUCAUCUCCGGGGGUAGAGCACUGUUUCGGCUAGGGGGCCAUCCCGGCUUACCAACCCGAUGCAAACUGCGAAUACCGGAGAAUGUUAUCACGGGAGACACACGGCGGGUGCUAACGUCCGUCGUGAAGAGGGAAACAACCCAGACCGCCAGCUAAGGUCCCAAAGUCAUGGUUAAGUGGGAAACGAUGUGGGAAGGCCCAGACAGCCAGGAUGUUGGCUUAGAAGCAGCCAUCAUUUAAAGAAAGCGUAAUAGCUCACUGGUCGAGUCGGCCUGCGCGGAAGAUGUAACGGGGCUAAACCAUGCACCGAAGCUGCGGCAGCGAACGUAUCACCCAAGACAACUUUACGGAGUUGACGAUUGACGGAGCGAAGCGACGUCAAAGCGUUCAUUAAAGUCGAGUUGGCUUAGGGAUACGUUCGUUGGGUAGGGGAGCGUUCUGUAAGCCUGUGAAGGUGUGUCGUGAGGCAUGCUGGAGGUAUCAGAAGUGCGAAUGCUGACAUAAGUAACGAUAAAGCGGGUGAAAAGCCCGCUCGCCGGAAGACCAAGGGUUCCUGUCCAACGUUAAUCGGGGCAGGGUGAGUCGACCCCUAAGGCGAGGCCGAAAGGCGUAGUCGAUGGGAAACGGGUUAAUAUUCCCGUACUUGGUGUUACUGCGAAGGGGGGACGGAGAAGGCUAUGUUGGCCGGGCGACGGUUGUCCCGGUUUAAGCGUGUAGGUGUGUGUUCCAGGUAAAUCCGGUUCACUUUAACACUGAGGCGUGACGACGAGGCACUACGGUGCUGAAGCAACAAAUGCCCUGCUUCCAGGAAAAGCCUCUAAGCAUCAGGUAACACGAAAUCGUACCCCAAACCGACACAGGUGGUCAGGUAGAGAAUACCAAGGCGCUUGAGAGAACUCGGGUGAAGGAACUAGGCAAAAUGGUGCCGUAACUUCGGGAGAAGGCACGCUGACACGUAGGUGAAGUGAUUUACUCAUGGAGCUGAAGUCAGUCGAAGAUACCAGCUGGCUGCAACUGUUUAUUAAAAACACAGCACUGUGCAAACACGAAAGUGGACGUAUACGGUGUGACGCCUGCCCGGUGCCGGAAGGUUAAUUGAUGGGGUCAGCGUAAGCGAAGCUCCUGAUCGAAGCCCCGGUAAACGGCGGCCGUAACUAUAACGGUCCUAAGGUAGCGAAAUUCCUUGUCGGGUAAGUUCCGACCUGCACGAAUGGCGUAAUGAUGGCCAGGCUGUCUCCACCCGAGACUCAGUGAAAUUGAACUCGCUGUGAAGAUGCAGUGUACCCGCGGCAAGACGGAAAGACCCCGUGAACCUUUACUAUAGCUUGACACUGAACAUUGAGCCUUGAUGUGUAGGAUAGGUGGGAGGCUUUGAAGUGUGGACGCCAGUCUGCAUGGAGCCGACCUUGAAAUACCACCCUUUAAUGUUUGAUGUUCUAACGUGGACCCGUAAUCCGGGUUGCGGACAGUGUCUGGUGGGUAGUUUGACUGGGGCGGUCUCCUCCUAAAGAGUAACGGAGGAGCACGAAGGUUGGCUAAUCCUGGUCGGACAUCAGGAGGUUAGUGCAAUGGCAUAAGCCAGCUUGACUGCGAGCGUGACGGCGCGAGCAGGUGCGAAAGCAGGUCAUAGUGAUCCGGUGGUUCUGAAUGGAAGGGCCAUCGCUCAACGGAUAAAAGGUACUCCGGGGAUAACAGGCUGAUACCGCCCAAGAGUUCAUAUCGACGGCGGUGUUUGGCACCUCGAUGUCGGCUCAUCACAUCCUGGGGCUGAAGUAGGUCCCAAGGGUAUGGCUGUUCGCCAUUUAAAGUGGUACGCGAGCUGGGUUUAGAACGUCGUGAGACAGUUCGGUCCCUAUCUGCCGUGGGCGCUGGAGAACUGAGGGGGGCUGCUCCUAGUACGAGAGGACCGGAGUGGACGCAUCACUGGUGUUCGGGUUGUCAUGCCAAUGGCACUGCCCGGUAGCUAAAUGCGGAAGAGAUAAGUGCUGAAAGCAUCUAAGCACGAAACUUGCCCCGAGAUGAGUUCUCCCUGAGACUUAGAGUCUCCUGAAGGAACGUUGAAGACGACGACGUUGAUAGGCCGGGUGUGUAAGCGCAGCGAUGCGUUGAGCUAACCGGUACUAAUGAACCGUGAGGCUUAACCUUACAACGCCGAAG
rnacentral:rRNA from 1 species